GCGAUCAUACCACCUCUAAUGCACCGGAUCCUAUAAGAACUCUGAAGUUAAGCGUGCUUGGGCGAGAGUAGUACUACGAUGGGUUACCCCCUGGGAAGUCCUCAUGUUGUACCCC
rnacentral:rRNA from 1 species